rnacentral:tRNA from 1 species
AAUCACUACCUGGGGUACAGUUUUCUUGAAAAUAACUUUAGAGUGUUCAAUUCACUUAGUGAUUU